UUAGCUUGCUAAUCUUGAUGGCGACCGCGCACGGGUGAGUAACGCGUAUCCAACCUUCCCCUUAGUAGGGCAUAGCCCGGCGAAAGUCGGAUUAAUACCCUAUGUUCUUCGUAGAGGACAUCUGAAAUGAAGCAAAGAUUUAUCGCUAGGGAUGGGGAUGCGUCUGAUUAGGUAGUCGGCGGGGUAACGGCCCACCGAGCCUGCGAUCAGUAGGGGGUUCUGAGAGGAAGGUCCCCCACAUUGGAACUGAGACACGGUCCAAACUCCUACGGGAGGCAGCAGUGAGGAAUAUUGGUCAAUGGGCGCGAGCCUGAACCAGCCAAGUAGCGUGCAAGGAUGACGGCCCUAUGGGUUGUAAACUGCUUUUAUGCGGGGAUAAAGUGCACCACGUGUGGUGUUUUGUAGGUACCGCAUGAAUAAGGACCGGCUAAUUCCGUGCCAGCAGCAGC
rnacentral:rRNA from 1 species